rnacentral:tRNA from 1 species
GGCGAUGUAGCUCAACUGGAUAACAGAGCGUCGGUCUUGUAAACCGAACGAUAAGGGUUCGACUCCCUUCGUCGCCUCCA